AUGGAGAAGCGUCUCCAGAGGAUGGCACAGACACUUGUCUCUGGUCCCAGCAUGCUGGAUGCCCUGGGGCUGGCACUGCACAGCUGCCUCUGCCUCGGCCCCGGCCUUGUCCUGCUCCUGGUGGCCUGGGCUACCCUGCGCUGCUGCUGCAGCACCUCAGGCAAACGCCACCAGGUCUGCGCUGGGAGCCGAGGCAGGGGAAGGCACAGGACAGUCCAUGAAACAGAUGCUGAGUCAAGCACUCAUGGCUGCAGGAGCAGCCUGAUCUGGAUUGGCAGCAGACCCUUAGGCCAGCUUCUGUGUUACGAUCUCGACUGUGAACACUGCAGCCAGGCUGUCAGGGAGAGGGAGCAGCGGCUUCUUGCCAGGCAGGCCAGAGCCUCCUGCUGUCCACACUCCUCUUCAGACUCCAGCAGCUCCUGUCAGCACGGGGCCACCGGCAGCUCAUUCCGCCCUGCCAAGUUAACAUCCAUCAGAUCCUGGUGGCAGCCAGUGUUGCGGAACAGAAAGCAAAGGAGACCCUUUCCCCAGUGUGCAGCGAUGCCCCAAACAGCACUGAAAAUCCAUGGGGCAACCACACUCCCCUGUGAUGCUGGGUCUCUCAGAUGGGCUGAGGAGCUUGCCAAGAUGGCUCCCAGGCACCACGAGGCUGGAUCGCCCCCCACUACAGGCUCUGACACAGCUGACAAGGAUGGCAACCUGCCUGCUGGUGCAGAUCCUCAUCCCAUUAAAAGGCUGGAGCAAGGACUGGGCUUCUGGAAGCUGCUGCACAUGCACACCCUGAGGAAGUCCAUAGAGACAAAGCUGGGAGCCCUCCCCACCAUGGUGCAGCACUCCCACAGGAGGUACACAUACAGGAUUUCACGCCGCACAACUCCCACAACGCUGCACUCCCAUCCUGCCCCCUCCUACUUCUGCUCAGCGGAGGCUCUGUUCCUGCAUGAGGACGUGCGGGAGUUCCUAGAGAUGCACAUUCGUGAGAAGAAGCUGCGCCAUCAAUGGGGCUUGCCUGCAGGGUCACUGAGAGGACCCCAGGUACUGCCAUCAGUCUCCUAACAGUAGUGUGCAGGACUCCAUGUUCAGCAUCACCCUCAAGAUCCAGGGUUGGGCACCAGGAAAGCGGGUGUCCAAUGGAAAACAUCCCCUUGUUGCCGAGGGACAGAAGCUGUGAGGGAACAUGGAGGCCUCCCCAUCACUGACUCUUCCUGCUCCUGUUAAAUCCAUUAAACCCAUUCCUAUUAAAUCUCCACCUCUUCUGGGCAGCUGCACUGAUAUGAAUAGAGAUGUCGGGGAGGGCUCUGAGGCUCACCAUGGUGCCAAUGAACCAGGACUGUGGGAUGAAGAGCAUGGCACCCCUAACCAUGCCGUCCACCUCAGCAGAGUGGGACUUCCAGAGAGCAGCCCCUGUGCAGGGCUCAUGGGACCAUUUUGAUGUCCCUCUUUGGGCUCUUGCCCUGGGAGCACCGGCAGUGAAGUGAAAGGCAGGCGCAGGAUGGCUCUGGGAGAGCAAAAUCUUAGCUGUCCCCAUCCUCAUUAGGCGACACCACCUCAGGGUGCCAAAGGGAAGAGGAAGUCCCGAUGGGGGCAAGCAAAUGAAGAGGGGAUCACACUCACAUUGGAUGUGUCUCUCGACAUAUGGCCCACAAGAGGAAAGGGGCUGGACCCUCAUCUCUGCUCAGAGCAGAAGGAGGUGUCUGACAGGACAAGGGGCAAUGGCCAGAAAAUGGAGCACAGGAAGUUCUGCACCAAUACACAAAAGAACUUCUUAAUGGAGAGAGUGACGGAGCACUGUAGCAGGGUGCCCAGGGAGGUUGUGGAGUCUCCUUCUCUGGAGAUGUUCAAGGCCUGUCUGGACGCCUACCUGGGCAGCCUGCUCUAGGGAACCUGCUUUGUCAGAGGGGUUGUACCCUGCCAAAUCUCUGGAGGUCCCUUCCAACCCCUACCAUUCUGUGAUUACCACUCUGGUUGCUUGGAGAGUCCCAGGAGAAAUCCCUGUUCCCAAGCUCUGUACAAGAGCAGGAGACUUCUCCAACCUUGCUGGCAGUGCUGCAGAUGGCAGGAAUGCAUCUGCAUACUCAAGAGAUGCUCUUGCCUACCAUUCGUGUAUAGCAGCCACCAUCACCUCUGUGUUUGUGGCUGCUUUGUAAACACAAGGUCCUCUUCCCUUCAAGGAUGGAUUUGUUUUGGGAAGAUCUCACUGUGUUUUUGUCUGUGGCUGUAGUGAGUGGGCUGCAAUGAGAGGAGUGCUCCUUCCUUCAUGCAAUGCUGGUCCCCACCAGGACACAGAGCCUGGGGUCUGCCCAUCUCCAGCCCACCAGCAUCACCUUCCCUGGCUGCCUGUGAGGAUGGGAGCUGAGAUGCCAGCUCGCGAUGAACAGUGAAGGACACCAUGAUAAAAUGCAGGUCACUGCUUGAUACAUGUGGGCAGGGCAAAUGAUAACCAGCAGGCACAGGCUGAUAGCUUCUACCUGAGGAGGAGGAGAAAGAAAAAUCAUGUUAUUGCAUUUAAAUGCAAGCCAAAUGCUCGCCCACAGUCAUUUUCAGGCAGAAAAUUUAGGUGUGGUCUUCAGCCUUUUCUAUUUGUAUCACAGAUGGUGAAUACAUUAUCCAGCUUGUCCCAAUUUUUAGCUGUGACUGUGUAUGUUUCCUACACAUAUUCCUCCAUUUGCAGAGACUCCCAGUACAGGUGUUAUUCCCCACAAACCUGAGCUGGUAGGGAGUCACAGUCAUGUGCUAGUGAUGUAAAAAGUGGGUCAUGGCAGAUGUGGUAAGGUCAGGGUUUGUAAAAUAAUUCCCUGUCCCUCCUGUUUCUUAUAAGAUCUCUUUUUAAAAACCCAUGUCUCUCCAUGGACUGAUUCUACCUUGUCGUGUGUACAGCAUCUUGUAUUACCAAAUACGAGUGUGGAAUCCUUGCAUCGCUGUUGUAUAAAUGCCGUUAAAUACGUUCUUGAUUUAGGAGAAACAAGAUUGUGUCUCUCUCUGUUCAUAUCCUAAGAUCAGAUCUCUCACAUUCUGGAUAUUUAAAUCAAUUUAAUAAAAUAAAUAAAUAAAUAAAGUAAAUAAAAGGC
rnacentral:lncRNA from 1 species